GUGACAAGAAGAAUAAGCUACAGAAGGAGAAGGCGCUCCAGUGGGACUUCCAGAUCCAGGUGCUGGACCUGAUCGAGGUGCUGGUGACCAGGCAGCCUGAGAACCCUCUGAUUCUGGAGCUGCUUGAGCCGCUGCUGAACAUCAUCAGGAGCAGCAUGCGCAGCAGCAGCAGCAAACAGGAGCAGGACCUUCUGCACAAGACGGCCCGUAUCUUCAUGCAGCACUUGUGCCGUGCCCGACACUACUGUCACAACGUGGGCCACUGCGCAGCGGCACUGCACACCCAGGUGGAGUGACUGGUGCGGCAGGCCGGCCAGCAGGCUGACUCCUCUGUCGCCCUCUAUUACUUUAAUGCCUCGCUCUACCUGCUGUGCGUCUUAAAGGGCAAUGCCACCAAGAAGCACAUGCUGGAGAGCCAACAGUGCCAGGGAGCCGGUCCCAACCAUGGCCCUGAGGACACAAGCCCUCAGGUGAGUGGGGCCUGGUCCCUGAGGGCUAGAAGAAGAACCAAGCCCCAGCCCUUGGCCUUUGGCAGGCACCUGGGCCUGCCCCAAGUCUCACCCCAUCUCUCGCACCUGCCCUAGACUGCCAGCUGCCUGGACCUGGACCUCGUGACUCCAGUGUACUUGGCAGCGCUGAGCUCCUUCCUGACCAAGCGCAACAGCCCCCUCACUGUCCCCAUGUUCCUCAGCCUCUUCUCCCGGUACCCGGUGAGUGUCCAGGCCACCCCUAGCCCCCUGGCAACCCCUGCCCAUCCCAGGCCCUGCCUCUCUCAUAGCCUCUGUUAUUUCCUCCCCUCCCAGGUGAUCUGUAAGAAUCUGCUCCCCGUCCUGGUCCAGCGCAUGGCUGGCUCAACACGGGCCCGCCAGCAGGCCCAGGCCUGCCUGCUGCUCCAGAAGACCCUGUCUGCACGGGAGCUGAGGGGAUGUUUUGAGGACCCUGAGUGGGAGCAGCUGAUUGGCCAGGUCCUGGCGAAGGUCACGGAGAACCUGUGCACACUGGGGGAGGCGCAGAGCCGGUCAGAGCACCAGAAGCAGCUGUCCUCCCUGGAGUUGCUCAACACUCUGUUCAAGAUGAUCCAUCAUGAGAAGUUGACUGUGGACCUGACCACUCUCCUGGGUGUGCUGCGGGGCCAACAGCAGAGCCUGCAGCAGAGCCUACAACAGGGGGAGCACUCAUCUGGCUCCAGCCGCCUCUACGACCUAUACUGGCAGGCCAUGAAGAUGCUCGGAGUCCAGCGCCCCAAGGUAGAGAAGAAGGACACCAAAGCAGUCCCCAAUGUCUCUGAGAGCCCCAUUAGCAUGAAGCGGAAGAAAAAAGGGUUCUUGCCAGAGACCAAAAAGCGUAAGAAACGCAAGUUGGAGGAGGCCACACCAGAAGAGGGGGCCACGCCAAAGGGAGCCACUCCUGUAGCCACUGGUGGUGAUGGUGACCAGCCACCCAACACAGGCAAGAAGAGAAAAAGGAUGAAGGCCAAGGUCCUAGCCCAGCCCCAAGGGGAUGGGACCCCUGCUGCCAAGAGCCCAGGCCCUGACACCCUCACCUUGAGCCCCAGCACCCCUGCCAAGACUCCAGAGCUCCAGAAGAAAAGCAGAAAGCUGUCGCAGGUGAAUGGGAACACCCCAGUGUCCCCCACAGAGCCUUCAGGCGAAAAGCAACAUCUGAAAUCUCUUUCCGCCAGUCCCAGUCCAGCAGCCCUUGACAGUCCUGUUUUUUCACCACAAUUUUAA
rnacentral:lncRNA from 1 species